rnacentral:rRNA from 1 species
GACGAACGCUGGCGGCGUGCUUAACACAUGCAAGUCGAACGGAAAGGCCCUGCUUUUGUGGGGUGCUCGAGUGGCGAACGGGUGAGUAACACGUGAGUAACCUGCCCUUGACUUUGGGAUAACUUCAGGAAACUGGGGCUAAUACCGGAUAGGAGCUCCUGCUGCAUGGUGGGGGUUGGAAAGUUUCGGCGGUUGGGGAUGGACUCGCGGCUUAUCAGCUUGUUGGUGGGGUAGUGGCUUACCAAGGCUUUGACGGGUAGCCGGCCUGAGAGGGUGACCGGCCACAGUAGGACUAAGAUAAGGCCCAGGCUCCUACGGGGGGCAGCAGUGGGGAAUAUUGCGCAAUGGGCGGUAGCCUUGUGCAGAAACGGCACGUGCGGGAUGACGGCCUUCGGGAUGAGAACCGCGUUCUCCUGUGACGAAGCGUUAGUGACGGUAAUGGGUAAAGAAGCACCGGCUAACUACGUG